AUUGUUAAAUAAUCAAUUAAGAUUGAUCCUGUCUUUGAUAAAAGUUAAAAAUUAGUUUUUAGGUAAUAUUAAAUAUAAAUUUUUGUGUGUUGGUUUAAAUAUCUUAAAGAUAUUUAGAAAGUUUAAUUGUAGUUUUUGAUUUUAAAAAUUAUGGUAACAUAGAUUUAGUUAAUUUAAUUAAGAGUUGUUUAAGGUUGUGCCAGCAUACGCGGUUACACAUCCAGCUCAAAUUAAUUUUUUUAGGUUUUAUUUAUUUAUUAUAUUGGGGUUUUAGUUUUAUUUAUAAGGUGAAAUUUUUAAUUUUAAUUAUUUACUCUUGGUUUUAGAUUAUAAGAAAUUUAGUUAAUAGACUAGGAUUAGAUACCCUAUUAU
rnacentral:rRNA from 1 species